GACGAACGCUGGCGGCGUGCUUAACACAUGCAAGUCGAACGAAGUGGCGAACGGGUGAGUAACGCGUAAUCAACCUGCCCUUCAGAGGGGGACAACAGUUGGAAACGACUGCUAAUACCGCAUACUGAAGGAGGGGAUUGCGUGUGAUUAGCUAGUUGGAGGGGUAACGGCCCACCAAGGCGAGGAGCAGUAGCCGGUCUGAGGGGAGGGACGGCCAAAUUGGGACUGAGAACCGGCCCAGACUCCUACGGGAGGCAGCAGUGGGGAAUUUUCCGAAAUGGACGAAAGGCUGACGGAGCAAAGCCGGGUGAGAGAUGACGGCCUUCGGGUUGUAAAGCUAUGUUAAUCGGGACGCGGUACCGGAAUAGAAAGCCACGGCUAACUACGUGCCAGCCGCCGCGGUAAUAC
rnacentral:rRNA from 1 species